rnacentral:sRNA from 1 species
GUUUUAGAAGGUAAAGCGUUUUCAAUAUUUCUGGAGAGGAAGAAUGAAAAUGGGAACUAUUGUAUGUCAAUCUUGUAACACAGUAAUCGAUCAUUUUGAGGAUGAGAAGGUUAGUAUUCUUUACUCUAAUUGCUGUGAAUGCUGUAAUCAUAGUGAGAAAAAAGAGGAAUAACAAAUAUUCAAGAGAGUGUAUAGAAGUACACUCUCUUUU